AAUAAUCAUAAAACAUUUUAUUUUGUAAGUCAAUAGAAUCGCUUUCGAGAACAGGCAUUCUGAAGCAUUCAGGUUUAUUAGAAUAUCGAAACAGGAAUCGCAAUUUUAGUAUAAAUUAGCUUCCAAUACUCCAUGAUGGUACAUUCAGUCGUUCACCUUUAGACAGACACCACCUAGAAAGAUCUUUCGACUGCUGCUUAUUGUGUCGGCUUUGAUUGCCUGUGCGUAUGCCAGACCAUUAGAUGAUGCCCACGCAACCGGACAGGGUUACAGCUAUCCCAAACCUAUUGGUAGCUACUUUUAUCCAUCUACUACCGCAAAUGGAAUCUCUGCGCAGGAACAGGGAGUUGUUGGCAAGCGUGUCACUGGUAGUUACUAUUACUACACCCCAGAGGGCGAACUGAUCAAGAUUACAUAUAUUGCCGAUGUGAUUGGAUACCAGCCACAAAUCACCACUCAGAGUUUAAGUCCUUGUACUGCCAAAUCCCUCUGUCGAUAAUAAGAUCAUUCAUUUUAGUGCUUUAAAAUAAAAAUAAAAAAGUUGAUCAGUGUAA